UCGCCCUGGUAGGCAAGGAUACCAGAAGAGGGUGGCACAAGCUGGAAAGCCGCCGAUUCUCACGACGGCGGCAUGGUGGGCAGUGAGCAGUGGUGGAGGGAAGCCUAGGGCAACUAGGGCCCUGGCCCUAGGCGUGGGCUGGUAUUUUGCAUACUGUAGCUACUGUAGACCAAAGGAAUAGGCGCAGCUAGCCCCGAUUGGCCCAUUAGCGGCCCUAGGCGUCAAAUUGGCCCAGCUCCGCCCCUGGCAGUGAGGAAGGGAGAUUCGAAGAUGGGCCCGUCGAGGUGCCGGACUGGAGCAGACGCACUCCACGAGCUCGUUAUUUUCGAGCUCACCAUGGAGCACGGACCGCUCACCAUCUCCAGCUCCUCUUGGUACCACGUCAAGGAAUGACCUGGAAGCUGAAUGGAGCUGUCUCUUGCGGUGUCAAUAACAUCCUUUAUCUAAUAUUGCAGAUCCACUGAAAGUUGUAAGGAGGUUGCUGCAGAGACGUCAAUGUUUGCAUGAUUAUGUUUCAUGGAGGAAUUGCUGGUGGCUCCGAAGCUGCUUGCAGUGUUCCUUUGGCCUGUAGCCUCUUCUUUAUUUUGCUGGAUCUGUAACAUGGUAACUGAACAGUCCAGUUUUUAGCUGAUGAAAUUCCUGUGAGGUGGAUCAUGGCAUCAUCUUAGUCAUGUAACAAUUGUGCUCCUGGAGGCACACCCCUGACCCCUCAACUGUGAUGUACGAUUAACUGUAUAUGUCCUUGGUUCCUAUAGUGCUUGAACAUUAUAAAAUAAACCGUGCUUUUUCGGAAGACUUUUCA